CCUACGGGAGGCAGCAGUGGGGAAUUUUGGACAAUGGGCGCAAGCCUGAUCCAGCCAUGCCGCGUGUGGGAAGAAGGCCUUCGGGUUGUAAACCACUUUUGUCAGGGAAGAAACGGCUCUUACUAAUAUUAGGGGCUAAUGACGGUACCUGAAGAAUAAGCACCGGCUAACUACGUGCCAGCAGCCGCGGUAAUACGUAGGGUGCAAGCGUUAAUCGGAAUUACUGGGCGUAAAGCGUGCGCAGGCGGCUUUGCAAGACAGAUGUGAAAUCCCCGGGCUCAACCUGGGAACUGCAUUUGUGACUGCAUGGCUAGAGUACGGUAGGGGGGGAUGGAAUUCCGCGUGUAGCAGUGAAAUGCGUAGAUAUGCGGAGGAACACCGAUGGCGAAGGCAAUCCCCUGGACCUGUACUGACGCUCAUGCACGAAAGCGUGGGGAGCAAACAGGAUUAGAUACCCUGGUAGUCCACGCCCUAAACGAUGUCAACUGGUUGUUGGACGGCUUGCUGUUCAGUAACGAAGCUAACGCGNGAGUGCGCCGNGGGAGGUAACGGCCGCGAGUUAGUAACGUUACGAAGAAGUUAGACGGCGNGAGAGNGCGACGGACGACGACGAGGGAGGAGG
rnacentral:rRNA from 1 species